CAGGGAGACAACAAAAUGUUUAAUAUUAUUAUUUUGUCACCUUAGGUCGAUCGGUAUCUCACAUUCUUAAUUUUUAAGAAUUUCAUUUCCUAAGUUUUUCUAGGUCACACCCAUUAUUUUUCCUGGGCCAUUAGCUCAGGUGGUUAGAGCGCACCCCUGAUAAGGGUGAGGUCCCUGGUUCAAGUCCAGGAUGGCCCAUAUCUCUAUGUUGGGGGUAUAGCUCAGUUGGUAGAGCGCCUGCUUUGCAAGCAGGAUGUCAGCGGUUCGAGUCCGCUUACCUCCACUGAUCACCACCUCUGCCAUAAUUUGUAAAAGGAAAUAUUUUGAGUUGUGAUCAUAAUUCUGAACGAAUCUAGCUUCCUAAUGAAAUCAUUAAGAUGCUGGACUCAUUGAAUUAAUUUCAUUGUUUUCAGAGAACCUUGACAACUGCAUAGAUUAUUUUUAAAGACAAUAAGCAUCUUUAAUGAUGCAGAUUUAUUAUUUGUGCAAAUGCAUUAAUAACAAUUCUAUUAAGCUGAUGCUUCAAUUAUGAAGUUAUU
rnacentral:tRNA from 1 species